GUCAGGGCAUGGAAGUGGUAGCCUGUAGCCCGGUCCCCACACACUGCGCAGUUCCUCGGCUCAUCUUCCCCACUGGCCAUGGCUUCAGAUCCAUAGCGACUCCCUACUGCCAAGUUUCCUGUUAGAUCUGCAGCGUCCUCUGUGUAUGGAUUCUGGACAAGCUGAGAGGAUGGAGGGAGAGAGAGAGACAACAAGCUUUUCCACAUGCGGUAUGUCCGCAGUAAAAGAAUAGGCAUAACAAUUGUACACUGCUCCUCUGAGUCGGCCCUGCAAAUUAUGUACCUGGUCCUGUAUGGAGCCAAGAUGGAGGACUUCUAAGUAAUAAGUUUAAGAAUCAGAAGUAGGAGCCUUCACCAUGGUUGUCUAUUGCUGCUGCUGCUGCUGCUAAGUCACUUCAGUCGUGUCCAGCUCUGUGUGACCCCACAGACGGCAGCCCACCA